GCCCGGGUAGCUCAGUUGGUAGAGCAUGCGAUUGAAAAUCGCAGUGUCGGCGGUUCGAACCCGUCCCCGGGCA
rnacentral:tRNA from 1 species